UCAAAAGCUUCGGCUUUUUUUGAUAUUUUAACUCUAGUGUUGACCUAUCCUCUGUUGCUUCUGCCUUGGUGCAAACCCCGGAAGGGGCUUAAUGCCUAGGCAGAAGGCCUUUUUGAAACCAGUUUUCUCAGUUAUGUAGUAUAUCUGAAGUUAUUAAAAAAGAUAAAAAUA
rnacentral:misc_RNA from 1 species